rnacentral:lncRNA from 1 species
CAGACAGGGAACAGGGUGGCUGGAGAGAGCCCUGCUUCCCUUCUCCAUCCUUGCUCCCUCAGGCUUCACUUCCCAACAGGCCAAGGAAAAGUAACUCUGCCGGGGGCACCUCCAAGACACCCAGGACAUUCUUGAUAAAUCUGUCCGCAGAAGCAGUCCUGCAUGAGUCAAGGAAAUCACCUGAUGGCCAGCGAGCCAAGGCUAACCGAGCAUUUUCAACAUGCCUGCUACCACUCGGCACAGGCACCCUGACGGCCCUGGGAAUGCAAAGUGGGGUUCAUGUCUUCUCAUGGAGCAGGGCACCAGCAGACUCUGGCCUCUUGGAUCUCCUUGCACAAUUGAACACAGCCAGGAUUCCUGGAAGUCUUGCUCAAGAGCGGACCCUAAUGCGCUGUGUUCACCGAACUGCUGUGCCAGCAAAGCAAUCUCGUGACUGUUGUAAAAGAGACAUUCCAGUCAUAUGUGACGCAUGCUCUUUGAUGUCAUCUCCACCAAGAUGGCAGAUGUGUGAGCGAAGACUUCUUGGACCCCCCCCAACCAGCCCAUCUGCCAGCUGAAUACAACUAGUGACCUGAGUCAACCCCACAGGGGACAGAAGAACUUCCCAGCUGAGCCCUGCCCAAAUUCCUGAUGGACAAAACAGUG